UGGACCAAUGAUGGGAAAGUGUCUAUGAACAAAGGAUCAUGAUUAAGCUGGUUCUUUAGCAAAUGCAGAGGUCCGUU
rnacentral:snoRNA from 1 species